UUCAGCAUCAGCAUGUAUGCAUGGCAUGUACAGUUAUGUGAUACAUUAUUAUGUGAUAUAAGACCAUGCAUAUGAAUAUGAGAAAAGUUAUGAAAUGCCUUGAAAAGUCUUAUGUAAAGUUAAACAUUUUAAUGACACAAGGCUUAAGCAAAGUGAUAAUAAGAUGUUUAAAAAGGGUGCCACUGUUUUGAUGAAGCAAUCAAGUAAGUUCAGUAAAGAAGAUGGAAGUCUAUAAGACUUAUAGUGGCUGCCCACUAGUGUGGGCUAGGUCAGAGUUGACCAUUCAGAUAUGUUUGUCAUGUUUCCGUCUUUCUCCUCCAUAUGUGUAAUAAGUAUGGCAGCUAUGGCAACGAUGAAAUGAGUGUUAUGAUGAGCCUAGCUGAGAUGAUGGCUAGCCGGAGGAGAACCCAUGGGAUUCUAUAUGAUAUGUGUAACAAGCCCUGCAGGUAUUGGCUGAAUCAAAUAGUUUGCACAAGUGAAAUCGGGCCAUUAAAAAUGUGAAACUAAAAGAAAGAACAUAAAAGUAAAGUUUGAAAGUGCUUGAGCAAUAAAUGAAAUGCAUAAGUAUAUAAGUCAGCAUAUUAGUAUAUGUGCACUACAAACUCACGACAUUCAUGUGUAUGUGUAUGCAUGAGAUUUGCUUACUGAGCGUUAGCUCAUUAUGUUAUUUUCCAACAUUUUUCCAGGUGUGGCUUUAGCUGUUGAGCAACUUGUGGAGCACGGACUCAGUAGCAAUGCAAUAAUGGUUUAGAGUUUUCAUAUGGCUGCCUUAAAUUUAAAGUAUUCAUACGUGUAAUAAUUUCUACUAAUAAGUUUAUAUAAAAGUUUUAAAUUUUUCUGUAUUUCUUCGUAUCAUUUUAUUUAAUUCUUUUGGUCAAGUGCCUUACAUACUCGUAAACCCUAGAAUUACGAGUAUGUGGCAGACGUACCCUACCUUAGGGACGUUUCAAAUGGUAUCAGAGCUUUGAGUUUGUAGAUGUCGUAUACUCGUUAUGUUAUUAAAUUUUGGGAUCCGAAAUGCUACUGAGUUCCGCCACAAGACAAGCCACACAUUAAUGGGCAAGAAGUCGGUUUUGACAACGAAAGGGUUUCACAGAGACUUGGUUUUAAAGAAUAAUCUUCAUCGGCUAUAUAAUUGUUUUCUAGUUAUCCAAUUUU